rnacentral:tRNA from 1 species
GGAUGGAUGUCUAAGUGGUUGAAAGAGUCGGUCUUAAAAACCGAAGUAUUGAUAGGAAUACCGGGGGUUCGUCUU